ACGCUCGACACCUACGGGAGGCCGCAGUCGGGAAUAUUGCGCAAUGGAGGAAACUCUGACGCAGUGACGCCGCGUAUAGGAAGAAGGUUUUCGGAUUGUAAACUAUUGUCGUUAGGGAAGAUACAAGACAGUACCUAAGGAGGAAGCACCGGCUAACUAUGUACCAGCAGCCGCGGUAAUCUGAGCGGGCUGGCAAGGC
rnacentral:rRNA from 1 species